AAAAUGUGGCCGGAUACGUGU
rnacentral:miRNA from 1 species